rnacentral:rRNA from 1 species
AGCGAACGCUGGCGGCAGGCCUAACACAUGCAAGUCGAACGACCUCUUCGGAGUUAGUGGCGGACGGGUGAGUAACACGUGGGAACGUGCCUUUAGGUUCGGAAUAACUCAGGGAAACUUGUGCUAAUACCGAAUGUGCCCUUUGGGGAAAGAUUUAUCGCCUUUAGAGCGGCCCGCGUCUGAUUAGCUAGUUGGUGAGGUAAAGGCUCACCAAGGCUACGAUCAGUAGCUGGUCUGAGAGGAUGACCAGCCACAUUGGGACUGAGACACGGCCCAAACUCCUACGGAGGCAGCAGUGGGGAAUCUUGCGCAAUGGGCGAAAGCCUGACGCAGCCAUGCCGCGUGGAUGAUGAAGGUCUUAGGAUUGUAAAAUCCUUUCACCGGUGAAGAUAAAUGACUGUAGCCGGAGAAGAAAGCCCCGGGCUAAACUUCGUGCCAGCAG